UUUGAUUCUUUUCACUCAUCUCAAUAUUCCCUAACAUCUAUCAAUUCAUUCUUCUAAAAAAUCAUAGAAGAUGCCGCAAAUCUUGCAGAGAAUGAGUGUGAAACAUUAUCAGCGUCCUUGGAGUAUCCAUCAUCAAAGUUCUUUAAGUAGGAGCUUGGAUCAUAUUGGACAUUAACCACACGUGAAGAACAUAAAUUUCUACUGUUUUCUCUCUUGAUCUUCUUCCACAACAUUCUCAAACGUUUUAUCUUCAUUCUGGUCUCAAGUUUAAUAACACAGACAAUGGAAUCGUAGGCUACUCUCUCAUAACUUGGCCAAUUGUUGUUGUUUUCAAGGUUCAUGGUGUAGAGAAGAGACUAUAGGAAGAAUAUAAAGGUUUAAGAGAC
rnacentral:lncRNA from 1 species